rnacentral:lncRNA from 1 species
AAAAGAACCUAUAUCCAAAGAGCUGGGUUCUCCUUUCGGAUGUGAUGUUGAACAGUUUCUCUGUGUGCUUCAUCUCCACCUCCCUCCCAGCUUUUAUGUCCCUUCUACUUCGUCUUCAAACUCGAGUUCAAAUCUCCUUCCCUCUGAAAACCCCCUCUCGACUGUGCUACCCAUUGUAAAGACCGACUCUUCAGUGAAGACACAGAAUCAGCAUUUGGGAGAUGCGGAGACCAGGGACGACUCCUUCCUCCUGGGAGAGCUGGGAUUCCAGUCCUGGGAGUGAUUCUGGGUCAUCAGGCCGGAGAAUCACACUCUCUGCUAUCAGCAUCCAACCUACUCGAGUCCUGACCCCACACUGCCAGGAGAGUCCAGCAAGCCCUGAGGGCCUGAGCACAGCCAGGCUGGACACUGGAGGCAGCCCCGGGAGAUGCAAAUAAUUGGGUUAUUGAAAAAUGAAGGUGAGGAGGAGGAGGAGAAGGAAGGUGAAAAAAGUGAAGGUGGAUGGCAUUUGCCAUUCCUCGGAGAUUUGCACAUAUCCUGGUUGUAUUAAAUCAGCAGCCUGUAUGGUGUGGUGAGCUCCAAAAUACGUUUCCUGUGAAGAAGGCUUAUAUUCUGCAAAUUUCUACUUCCUGUUCACUGUGCAUAACAAAAGUCGCCAUAAUAAAAGUGAGUUGCAGGAAACCCACUGUGUCUGAACUGCACUGAAGGCUUGGGGACACACACUGGUCUCCCAUGGUGAUAAUUUAUCUACACAAAUCCUCCUGUCCUGGGAUGAGGCAGGAGCUCCAAGGUGACCAAGCAUUCCAAAAAAAGCCACACGCCUCACAAAACUUGGCUCCAGGGAGCAGGUGGGUGUGUAUCCCGGGAAAGGGAUCAGUGGUGUCUGAGUCAAGAAGAGCCCAGUGGUCCAAGCAAGAGCAAAGAAAAACAGCCCAUGCGGUUUAGUCAAGAGAGAGCCGGGCAGGAUGUCGGGAAUGCUGACUUCUCUGCUCAGCAGCUUACCCAGCUGGGGCAAGGCACUCAAUGCCUCGUUGUCCUCCGAACUGUCACCUGGCAAUGAGGGAAGUAUAUCAAAGAGAGAACGAGGCCUCUGAAUUGCUUCAGGGCCCAUAAAAGGAGGACAGCUCCAUUUUGAAGUUUUUGAGGAUCAGGGUGGGAACAACUUAUGCUUGUUUGUUCUGUGACUAAACGAUGGACCCCAACUUGUGCCAGCUGCAUUUCAUUCAUUUGUUCCUUCCUUCCUACCUACCUUCCUUCCUUCCUUCAUUCACUUAAGAAGUACUUAUUUUGAACUAGUCCUAGAGAUACCCAUUCUCCUCUAGUGGAGCCGAUAGAUUACCAGGGAAGACAGCGGCAUCAAUAACCACAUGGACAUUAAGG